rnacentral:rRNA from 1 species
AGGGUUUGAUUAUGGCUCAGGACGAACGCUGGCGGCGCGCCUAACACAUGCAAGUCGAACGGAGAAUGCAGGACUGAAGCCUUCGGGCAGAUGACCUGUAUUCUUAGUGGCGGACGGGUGAGUAACACGUGAGCAACCUGCCUUCAAGAGGGGGAUAGCACCUGGAAACGGGUGGUAAUACCGCAUAAGACCACAGUGUCGCAUGGCACAGAGGUCAAAGGAGCAAUCCGCUUGAAGAUGGGCUCGCGUCCGAUUAGAUAGUUGGUGAGGUAACGGCUCACCAAGUCGACGAUCGGUAGCCGGACUGAGAGGUUGAACGGCCACAUUGGGACUGAGACACGGCCCAG